UACAGAGGUGGCAAGCGUUGUUCGGAAUUACUGGGCGUAAAGGGCGCGUAGGCGGCCUUCUUAGUCGGACGUGAAAUCCCCAGGCUCAACUUGGGAACUGCGUCCGAUACUGGAUGGCUUGAGUGCGGGAGAGGGAUGUGGAAUUCCAGGUGUAGCGGUGAAAUGCGUAGAUAUCUGGAGGAACACCGGUGGCGAAGGCGGCAUCCUGGACCGACACUGACGCUGAGGCGCGAAAGCGUGGGGAGCAAACAGG
rnacentral:rRNA from 1 species